rnacentral:rRNA from 1 species
CCUACGGGAGGCAGCAGUGAGGAAUAUUGGUCAAUGGACGAGAGUCUGAACCAGCCAAGUAGCGUGAAGGAUGACUGCCCUCUGGGUUGUAAACUUCUUUUAUAUUGGAAUAAAACAGGGUAUGCAUACCCUCUUGUAUGUACCAUAUGAAUAAGGAUCGGCUAACUCCGUGCCAGCAGCCGCGGUAAUACGGAGGAUCCGAGCGUUAUCCGGAUUUAUUGGGUUUAAAGGGAGCGUAGGUGGAUUGUUAAGUCAGUUGUGAAAGUUUGCGGCUCAACCGUAAAAUUGCAGUUGAAACUGGCAGUCGUGAGUACAGUAGAGGUGGGCGGAAUUCGUGGUGUAGCGGUGAAAUGCUUAGAUAUCACGAAGAACUCCGAUUGCGAAGGCAGCUCACUGGACUGCAACUGACACUGAUGCUCGAAAGUGUGGGUAUCAAACAGGAUUAGAUACCCGAGUAGUC